GUCUAUGGCCAUGCCACCCUGAAUGUGCCCGAUCUUGUCUGAAUGUGCCCGAUCUCGUCUGACCUCGAAAACUAAGCAGGGUUGGGCUUGGUUAGUAUGGGGAUGGGAGACCACCUAGGAAUACCAGGUGCUGUAGGUG
rfam:Pteropus alecto contig110502, whole genome shotgun sequence.